GACGAACGCUGGCGGCGUGCCUAAUACAUGCAAGUAGAACGCUGAAGAGAGGAGCUUGCUCUUCUUGGAUGAGUUGCGAACGGGUGAGUAACGCGUAGGUAACCUGCCUUGUAGCGGGGGAUAACUAUUGGAAACGAUAGCUAAUACCGCAUAACAAUAGGUGACACAUGUCAUUUAUUUGAAAGGGGCAAUUGCUCCACUACAAGAUGGACCUGCGUUGUAUUAGCUAGUAGGUGAGGUAACGGCUCACCUAGGCGACGAUACAUAGCCGACCUGAGAGGGUGAUCGGCCACACUGGGACUGAGACACGGCUCAGACUCCUACGGGAGGCAGCAGUAGGGAAUCUUCGGCAAUGGGGGCGACCCUGACCGAGCAACGCCGCGUGAGUGAAGAAGGUUUUCGGAUCGUAAAGCUCUGUUGUAAGUCAAGAACGAGUGUGAGAGUGGAAAGUUCACACUGUGACGGUAGCUUACCAGAAAGGGACGGCUAACUACGUG
rnacentral:rRNA from 1 species